rnacentral:rRNA from 1 species
UUUUGAUAGGGAAGAAGUUCUGACGGUACCUAAGGAAUCAGCAUCGGCUAACUCCGUGCCAGCAGCCGCGGUAAUACGGAGGAUGCAAGCGUUAUCCGGAAUUAUUGGGCGUAAAGCGUCCGUAGGUGGUUGUUCAAGUCUGCUGUUAAAGCGUGAGGCUUAACCUCAUACCAGCAGUGGAAACUGGGCGACUAGAGUGCGUUAGGGGUCAGGGGAAUUCCCAGUGUAGCGGUGAAAUGCGUAGAUAUUGGGAAGAACACCGGUGGCGAAAGCGCCUGACUGGACCGUCACUGACACUG